UUUACGUUUCGCAAAACCUUCUGCACUUGCCGAAAAUUCCAAGUUCUGAAUAAAACUGAAGAAUAUUGUUAUUGCUUUCACUUGUAAAAUUUUGGCAAACGACAGCUUCUAUAUUUGAGUUAAGCUUAAUUUGAGGUACACUGAAUAAAUGCAGUGGUCCUACAAGGUUAAAAUUACUAAGAAUCAAACGCAUAGUAAUUGAGAUAUAUGCCAACAAAAAUUAAAAAAAAGUGCCGUUUUUAUGUAAAAUGUAUUGGGCAAGAAAACUAGGAUCGUACAAGCCGAACCAACUCAGAGCGAUAAACAGAAAGGGUAACAACGAAAGAAGAAAAGUUAAAACAUAAAACGUAUUUUGCAUAACGACUCAGUGUGAAGGCAAAUAAAUGAAAGCUGUGAACCUUAAGUGAUUGACUGGUCAAGUUAAAAGCUUGUGCGAAGGCAAAGGUGAAGGGGUAUAUUGUGCUCUGCGAAAUAAAGCAGAUGCUGUGCGCGUAGAUUUGCGAUUUUAUUUUAUUUUUAAAUUUUUUCUUUUGCUGCAGCUUGUCACAGUUAACUUUUGCGUAUUUGCUUUCUUUCAACUUUCUAUUAUUUAUGCAUUUUUCUUUCCGCAAUUUUGCUUUGACAUUUUUUUUUUUGUUUUAUAAAAGAGAUUAAUGGUGGCUACAACAAUAGAAAAGUGCAUGUAGCUACUACCCUUUGAUAACAAGCUUUGACUUUGUCGCUUUAACGAAGGUGUGACUCAAAGAGCGCGCUACUAGGCAUGGAAGCGAUUAAAUUAAAGUGGGCAUAAAGAAUUAAUUACAAGUGAAAUAUUGCAGUAAAAAUGUUAGGUUGUGUUUAUUCGAUUAGUGAAAACUGGUUAACGUACAAGUAAAAUAUAUAUGAUCAAUAAUCUGACUCACCCUGUGAUUGGCAAAUUGUGGCGCAUGACGAAUAUGUACCAGUAUAAUUAUACAUGAUCAUAAUGUUGAAAAAACAGCUUUGGCGAAUGACGAACUCAACACAGUCAAAUAAUACGUGGUGAGAAAAAUACAAAACACCCACAAGUUCACGUUAUUGUGUACAACCAAACCCUUUUCUCUCCGAAUGAAUAAAUAAUAUGUCAUUAAGCGCAAGUUAAAUGGCCAAUUCACAUAGAACUUUUACUUUGCUUUGCGUCAGACAUUUAUUUUGACAGAAAAGACAACAAUCACCAUUUUUAUUAGAUAGAAACACUGAAAGCAAAGCGUUCAUUACGACAUAUCCUUUGUUUUCUGCGCUUCGUUGUUUCAGUGUAAACUGUCAUGCAAAGCUAGGCUAGUUGUAUGUGAAUAGGCGUUUGUAUAUUUUAUAAUAAAUCAUUUUACCUAAUUAUAUAAGAAAAACUAACUUAGACUCCGCAGACGAGUGCCUGAUGGCCACAACGAGGUCACAUGAUCAGAGAGCGUCUGCAAAACCCCUGCUUUUCCUAAUUCGACGGAGUUUUAAUAGAAAAUUCCUAACGAUUAGGAAAAUUUAAGAACUUUUGCGAAACACAACGGAAAACAAAAAAUCUAUACAUUGUGAGUUUUCUUUCAAAGUUGUCUGGCGUAACCCUCAUUCCUGGGCUUUUAAAGACGAUGAACUCACUAACGUUUUGAUUUGUCAUUGAAUGGAGUAUUGUGAAUUUAUAUAUUGUAACCCUACUUUACUAUAUUUCAAGUUGUUCUUUCAAUAGCAAAUCGUUAACUGUGCUGUUGCCCCCACAUGUAUACCAUAUUUUUUUAGAAGAGAGCAGCGCCAAAGAUAGUGAGCAGAUAAAUAGUGAAUUGUCGACUGUUAUUCUCACGGACUGUAUUGAUACUGGUAAGACCUUGCACAAUAUUGUUGGUUCCAUAUUUUUAUGUGCUUUGAUUUGUUUUCUUAAGACCACUGCUAUUUUAUAACGUUUUCAAAAAUAGAAGAGAGCAUAACCAUCUGAAUAAAAAUUAUUUUUCCCUGGAUUUUUACUUUUUUUAUGUAUGUGUGAAAUUUGAUCCGCAUAUGUCAAUAAGUGUGUGUUGGACACAAAAUUAAACGGGUUUGCUUGAAAGUUUCGCUUUCCAAUGGAAUCACGGCUACGAAAUCAUUAAAAUUUUGUUCACUUUAUUACGAACACAAGUAUUUCAGCCACAGAAGACCUUCAUUGAAAGUCGUAAAGUCAUCAGAAAGUAGCCUCAUGCGAUUAUCGAUAUCGUCUAAUCAUCUAAUGAAUGGCGCUUCAAAAAUUAGCGGAAACCGAAGAACCCAAAAUUCGCUUAAGGCCAUCUCAGAAGAGACUUAUAACAACUGUAUGGAGUAUUGGCAUGCUUGUAUUGGUUCACAACGAGCCUACUUUGAAGGGGAUAAUAAAGGUCUUUUUUUUAAAACGUGCAAAUGUGUAGUCCGGGUAAAAUUUGUUAUGAAUAGUUUUUUGUCAAAAUUGAAUACUGUCUCGAGAGAGUGAAACAGCAAUGCUCCAAUAAGUAAUCAUACUUUCAAGUGGAAUAUAUUAGUGCCAAAAAUGCAAAGGAUGAUAUUCAAAAUUAUAAAGUGACUACUUCCUCCUAUGCAAGAACGUCCUUCUAAAGAAACCGAAUUGCACGGAAUUCGUAUGUAAUUCGUUUACAACACUCUUACACAGUUUUUAAAUGAAGUGCAUACAAGAAACUGUAAAAUAAAGUCGAUACCUGCACACACUCACAUUUAUACAUAUCAGACAAUCACUAAUAUAAGCAGAUUUGAUUGAAAAUAAAUUGCUCCAGCUUUGCUCAGGCUCACAAAGGUAGAAAAGGGCAGAGUCAAACACUUUUGAUAAUAAAUUGUAGGCCAAAGGCAAUUGGCUUCGUAGUUAUUUUCGACACACCAAAUAUGCAGUGGAAGAAGAUUUUCUAUUUCCCUUCCAACAUUGGAUUAUUUGCAGUAUUCAAAAGCUUGACAAAGGAAAGAAAUCUACAUUAUUAACAUUUUCUCUGGCUUACAAUCUUCUAUUUUAUUGUUUGGUCGAAAAUUUUCAAGCGAGGUCACAGUAAAACUUGCAAUGGCUUAACAAUUUUCUUGAAAAACAUAUUUCAUUUUCAUCUAUUUCAAUACGCCUGUCAUUGACAAAAACAUCAAUUGAGACGUUAUUAAAUAUUUCCUUACAAUUAAAAUCAUAGUCGUCAAAAAUAAAAUAAAGUAAAAAAAAAAUUCCGGUUGCAACGAAGCUUCAUAUAAUACCCUUCACACGACUAAGCUCAGGGCACCAAGGGUUACAGUUUGGCGAACUGUAGACGAUUAGAUAUGAAUAACCAAUAAACAGCCCCAGACCAAGAGUGACAGGAGAGGGGGGGUUCGCUCUCCUAUUUCCGGAGACGAGGUGAAUAGAUGCCGUUUCGGAAUAAGCAUUCCCAAAUCCCUAAGGAGCCUGCCUGCCUGCCGAAAACCUACCCAUGAGAGGGAAACAACAGAGCAACACGGGACGCUACAACGAAAAUAUAUACACAAACGAACAAAUAUCCACAAUUGUAUGCAGUUGUUCAAAUGUGUGUAAAUGGCACUAAUCGGUAUGAGUGCCUUUAUAGCAAUGAAACACCGUUUUCAGGGUAUUCCGCUUGAUACCUACAAUAGUAGGAAAAGUACCGUUAGAAAAAAAAUAUUUUUAUAGAAUUGCUAGAGUUACCAUAGAGUUUUGAAAUGUCAUUAUUCGCUUUCGGAAUGGGAAUAAAUUUUUUUAAUAUUUCUUUAAUACGUCUUUAUAGCAUAGAAACGAAAUGUACUUUUUAUACCGUAUCCGAAUCGUCCUUCUGGGUGUCACACUUCGUGGCGAACUUAUUAUAAUAUACCCUGUUAGAAAUAUAAAUGGUGAAAAUAUUCACAUACUAAAAUGAAAUUAAUUGAUUAUUAAGCACAUCUGAAUCUACGAGAUAUAAUUCCAAAAUUAAAAUAUUCUACAUUAUUUAAACCACUAAAAUACAUUUAUAUAGUGAAGCCUGUAUUCAAUAUAUUCAUAUUUAAUAUCCUUUAAUAUAAUAUAUCAAAUUAAAAUAAAAAUUCUUACAAUAUACAAGCAUAAAUCACAUAUACUUAUUAAAAAAAAAUAUGUAGUUGCAUUAUAUAAUAUAAGCUGUUUUAAAAAACAUACCUUCAAAAUGAGCAUUCAUUAUGGAUACUUAGCGCUAAAUAGUGUUAUACCUAUAUUUGUCUCAACCAGCAAUGAACUUUAUAUCUUUUGUUUUUAUUCACUAAAUCCACGCCUAUAAAUUUUAUUAAAUUACUUCUGCUAUAACUUUUACGCAUUUUACAAGCUUUAAUCGAUUAUAUUUUCACGAGCUGCUUAUUUUUAAUAUUAACACCAUCAGCCUUUAUAAAACCGAUUUACUUCCUAUCAAGUUUUUUCUUACACCACGCAUAAUACAACUUAUAUACCUAUAUAUAUUUUUAUUUAAAUUUUUGGAUUAAGCACUUAUUUCCUACACUUCCUUAAAUUUUCACUAUUCUAUUCGAAUUCUUAUAUUUUUUUUUGCCAUUGAUCUCCACCGCUGCUGACAGCAGUGCUCUGAGAGCGCGAAAAUUUACAAUGACAACGCGAUGAAAGAGUGUUCUUUAACUGCAAUACCGAAAAUACAAGAGUAAACACAAACAAAUUCUAUUGUGUGUUGUAGCAAUUUAGGGAACUGAAAGAAAAAAGAGAAAAACAGUGAGAGAAUAAGUGGUGUUAUUCACAUUGUAAUUUGAAUGUUAGCGCAAAGCAGAACAUAUAGUUAUAUACAUAUUUGAGUUUUAAAAAAUUGUCGUAAUGGUAUUUUUUGUCAGAUCGCAUUAUUUCGAGUAACAAAUGUGGAAAAAAUAUUGACUUAACCCAUUUCCUUCCUUUGUUGCGUAUACGCAACGUUACUUUUCAAAAUAUUCUAUGUGUCGUGUGUGUGAGGUAUCGCGAUAAUUUUUUUUUUAAUCGGAAGGUAUAUCCUUAGGCUUUUACCUCUCCAUAUCUGCACCUCCUACAAAAUACACACUGCCACAUACACUUGCAUAUGUAUACACAUGCUUGAUAGACAAAUUUUCAAUCGCACACUAAAAAUUAUCAAACGUAAAUUCUUUUUCGAUAAAAAAUCGAUCGAUAUAAAAAUUCGUUUACAAAAAGAAAAGGAAAAGCUAUAUUUGAUUUACUUCUGUUGCAUUCGACCUGAACAAUUCUAUUUACGAGCGAUACGCCAGAGUUGCGUACACACAACAUGACGUCACGGCAUUCUUAGGAACCGGAAAAAUAUGAAUUAAUUAAUAUACAUUUUUCAAGAUUCAGUAAAAGCCUCUCUCGCAUUCACUUAUACAAUGUUCAGAACAACACUUAAUCACAAGAUUUAGGCUAUUGAGUAUAUUAUCUCACUAAUCUACUAGACUUAGCAAGAUUGCGCCUUACAAAAAUGAUACUAGUUAAUCUCGUCAAAGAGAAGAUUGAGACUCUGAUUCAGCGCCAUCUGUUUGUCAGUAGGAAAAGUUAUCACAUUAUCACAGCUGAUUUAGACACCACAAACUGCCAAAGGGAAAAAAAUUAAACAAACAAAUAAAAUAAAAAGUAAAAAAGUAAAGCAAUGCCAAGUAAAUAAGAGAAAAUAGCACAAUAUAGUAUCAAAAAAAAAGGUGAGUAAUGUGGAAUGUGGCUAGAGUUGUAGCGAGAAAAAUGGUACAGCUUCGAUCGCCAAGUCAAAAGCAGCUGUUUUAUAAAUCAGCAAUGAGGACAAUUUAGAAUAGAUUAAAUAUAAUAUAAUCACUUUUCUUGCAUUAGUAGAAAGUAUUAUUUCGAAUUAUCCAGCAGGUACCAGCUACCCAAUUUACAUUCCAAGGACCCUGGUAUCGCUGUUCCAUAGCGCGAAUUUCCUGAUAAAAGCACUCUUCUAACUACCUAAUUUUAUUUGAAGAGGAGAUAAUAUUAUAUUAUAUUAUAUAAUGCGGUCUCUAGCUAAUACAUGGCCAUUCAUCACAUUCAUACUACCCGAUACUAAAUUCACUCUCAAAACUCAAACUUUUCUAGUCCAGUGUUCUGUCUUGGCUCGGCUAUCCCAUAAUCACAUGAAACAGGGGUAUUUGGUAUAUCCUCCUUGCUGACCCAAAAAAACCUACUAACAUACAAAAUUUGGGAUCCAAGGCAUACUAAACACUUGUAAUGGCUUCCCCAAAUAUUCCAAAUAGGCUUUUCCUUAUAAAA